rnacentral:rRNA from 1 species
AGAGUUUGAUCAUGGCUCAGAUUGAACGCUGGCGGCAGGCCUAAGACAUGCAAGUCGAGCGAGAAAGUACUUCGGUACGAGUACAGCGGCGGACGGGUGAGUAACGCGUAGGAAUCUACCUAGUAGUGGGGGACAACUCGUGGAAACGCGAGCUAAUACCGCAUACGCCCUACGGGGGAAAGCGGGGGAUCUUCGGACCUCGUGCUAUUAGAUGAGCCUGCGUAAGAUUAGCUAGUUGGUGGGGUAAAGGCCUACCAAGGCGACGAUCUUUAGCUGGUCUGAGAGGAUGAUCAGCCACACCGGGACUGAGACACGGCCCGGACUCCUACGGGAGGCAGCAGUCGGGAAUAUUGCGCAAUGGGCGAAAGCCUGACGCAGCCAUGCCGCGUGUGUGAAGAAGGCCCUAGGGUUGUAAAGCACUUUCAAUUGGGAGGAAAAGCUAAUGGUUAAUAGCCAUUAGCCCUGACGUUACCUUUAGAAGAAGCACCGGCUAACUCCGUGCCAGCAGCCGCGGUAAUACGGAGGGUGCAAGCGUUAAUCGGAAUUACUGGGCGUAAAGCGCGCGUAGGCGGCUCUUUAAGUCGGAUGUGAAAGCCCCGGGCUCAACCUGGGAACUGCAUCCGAUACUGGGGAGCUAGAGUGUAGGAGAGGGAGGUAGAAUUCCAUGUGUAGCAGUGAAAUGCGUAGAUAUAUGGAGGAAUACCAGUGGCGAAGGCGGCCUCCUGGCUUAACACUGACGCUGAGGUGCGAAAGCGUGGGGAGCAAACGGGAUUAGAUACCCCGGUAGUCCACGCCGUAAACGAUGUCUACUAGCUGUAGGGGUACUUGAGACCUUUGUAGCGCAGCUAACGCACUAAGUAGACCGCCUGGGGAGUACGGCCGCAAGGUUAAAACUCAAAUGAAUUGACGGGGGCCCGCACAAGCGGUGGAGCAUGUGGUUUAAUUCGA